UGACUCACGAAUGGCUCAUUAAAUCAGUUAUCGUUUAUUUGAUAGUACCUUACUACUUGGAUAACCGUGGUAAUUCUAGAGCUAAUACAUGCUAAAAACCCCAACUUCGGGAGGGGUGUAUUUAUUAGAUAAAAAACCAAUGCCCUUCGGGGCUCUUUGGUGAUUCAUGAUAACUUAACGGAUCGCAUGGCCUUGCGCCGGCGACGGUUCAUUCAAAUUUCUGCCCUAUCAACUUUCGAUGGUAAGGUAUUGGCUUACCAUGGUUUCAACGGGUAACGGGGAAUUAGGGUUCGAUUCCGGAGAGGGAGCCUGAGAAACGGCUACCACAUCCAAGGAAGGCAGCAGGCGCGCAAAUUACCCAAUCCCGACACGGGGAGGUAGUGACAAUAAAUACUGAUACAGGGCUCUUUUGGGUCUUGUAAUUGGAAUGAGUACAAUUUAAACCCCUUAACGAGGAACAAUUGGAGGGCAAGUCUGGUGCCAGCAGCCGCGGUAAUUCCAGCUCCAAUAGCGUAUAUUAAAGUUGUUGCAGUUAAAAAGCUCGUAGUUGAAACUUGGGCCUGGCUGGCCGGUCCGCCUCACCGCGUGUACUGGUCCGGCCGGGCCUUUCCUUCUGGAGAGCCUCAUGCCCUUCACUGGGUGUGUUGGGGAACCAGGACUUUUACUUUGAAAAAAUUAGAGUGUUCAAAGCAGGCCUUUGCUCGAAUACGUUAGCAUGGAAUAAUAGAAUAGGACGUGCGAUCCUAUUUUGUUGGUUUCUAGGACCGCCGUAAUGAUUAAUAGGGAUAGUCGGGGGCAUCAGUAUUCAAUUGUCAGAGGUGAAAUUCUUGGAUUUAUUGAAGACUAACUACUGCG
rnacentral:rRNA from 1 species